UACGUCGACCGAGCGGAGCGACCGAGCAGCGCCGAGAUUGCGGGUUAUGGUGAGCGGGGAGGCAGCCGCCUAAAGUGUGAUCGGUAAUUGGGGUG
rnacentral:rRNA from 1 species